rnacentral:rRNA from 1 species
ACGAACGCUGGCGGCGUGCUUAACACAUGCAAGUCGAACGGAAAGGCCCUGCUUUUGUGGGGUGCUCGAGUGGCGAACGGGUGAGUAACACGUGAGUAACCUGCCCUUGACUUUGGGUUAACUUCAGGAAACUGGGGCUAAUACCGGAUAGGAGCUCCUGCUGCAUGUUGGGGGUUGGAAAGUUUCGGCGGUUGGGGAUGGACUCGCGGCUUAUCAGCUUGUUGGUGGGGUAGUGGCUUACCAAGGCUUUGACGGGUAGCCGGCCUGAGAGGGUGACCGGCCACAUUGGGACUGAGAUACGGCCCAGACUCCUACGGGAGGCAGCAGUGGGGAAUAUUGCACAAUGGGCGGAAGCCUGAUGCAGCAACGCCGCGUGCGGGAUGACGGCCUUCGGGUUGUAAACCGCUUUCGCCUGUGACGAAGCGUGAGUGACGGUAAUGGGUAAAGAAGCACCGGCUAACUACGUG